rnacentral:rRNA from 1 species
AGAGUUUGAUCAUGGCUCAGAACGAACGCUGGCGGCGUGCCUAACACAUGCAAGUCGAACGGUAACAGAAGAAGCUUGCUUCUUGCUGACGAGUGGCGCACGGGUGAGUAACGCGUGGAUAUCUGCCUAUUAGUGGGGGACAACUUGUGGAAACGCAAGCUAAUACCGCAUAAGCCCUACGGGGGAAAGCAGGGGACCUUCGGGCCUUGUGCCGAUAGAUGAGUCCGCGUCUGAUUAGCUAGUUGGUAAGGUAAAGGCUUACCAAGGCGAUGAUCAGUAUCUGGUUUGAGAGGAUGAUCAGACACACUGGAACUGAGACACGGUCCAGACUCCUACGGGAGGCAGCAGUGGGGAAUAUUGCACAAUGGGGGAAACCCUGAUGCAGCGACGCCGCGUGUGGGAAGAAGGCCUUCGGGUUGUAAACCACUUUCAAUUGGGAAGAAGAGAUGAGGUUUAAUACGCUUCUGAUUUGACGGUACCUUUAGAAGAAGCACCGGCUAAUUUCGUGCCAGCAGCCGCGGUAAUACGAAAGGCGCAAGCGUUGUUCGGAUUUACUGGGCGUAAAGAGAGUGUAGGUUGUUUAUUAAGUCGGAUGUGAAAUCCCGGGGCUCAACCUCGGAACUGCAUUCGAUACUGAUAGGCUAGAGUUUGGGAGGGGUAAGCGGAAUUCCGUGUGUAGCAGUGAAAUGCGUAGAUAUACGGAGGAACACCUGAGGCGAAGGCGGCUUACUGGACCAAUACUGACACUGAGACUCGAAAGCGUGGGUAGCAAACAGGAUUAGAUACCCUGGUAGUCCACGCCCUAAACGAUGUCAACUAGCCGUUGCGGGUAUCGACCCCUGCAGUGGCGAAGCUAACGCGAUAAGUUGACCGCCUGGGGAGUACGGUCGCAAGAUUAAAAACUCAAAGGAAUUGACGGG